rnacentral:rRNA from 1 species
UACGUAGGGUGCAAGCGUUGUCCGGAUUUAUUGGGCGUAAAGAGCCCGCAGGCGGCUUGGCAAGUUUGAGGUGAAAUCUCCCGGCUCAACUGGGAGGGUGCCUUGAAAACUGCUAGGCUUGAGGCAGGGAGAGGGAUGUGGAAUUCCAGGUGUAGUGGUGAAAUGCGUAGAUAUCUGGAGGAACAUCAGUGGCGAAGGCGGCCAUCUGGGACAACACUGACGCUGAAGCACGAAAGCGUGGGGAGCAAACAGG